rnacentral:piRNA from 1 species
AUGUUUGCACAGAAACUCCUGAACAU